GAGCGGUGACGACAACCGCGCUUAAUGUGAAGAUGGGUCUAUCACACACCGUCAGAUCUUCAUCGGAUGACAACAGGCGCUUCCGAGCUC